UACGUAGGUGGCAAGCGUUACUCGGAAUCACUAGGCGUAAAGCGCAGGUAGGAGGUUUGGUAAGUCUGUUGUAAAAGCUCCCGGCUUAACUGGGAGAGGCCAACGGAAACUGCCAGGCUUGAGUGUGGUAGAGGUAGCUGGAAUUCCCGGUGUAGCGGUGAAAUGCGUAGAUAUCGGGAGGAAUACCUAUGGCGAAAGCAGGCUACUGGACCAUCACUGACUCUGAUCUGCGAAAGCUAGGGGAGCAAACAGG
rnacentral:rRNA from 1 species